GGGUGCUUGAGACUGUUUGUCUCAGGCGUUUAGCGGGAGACAGAUAGAGAAAAGCCCCACCUGAUGAUAAAUCAAAGUGAGGCUUCCCUAUGCAUGAACACCAUAAGAGUAGCCUCUUACCUGUUGGAAAUCAACACCGGAGGCGA
rnacentral:antisense_RNA from 1 species